rnacentral:rRNA from 1 species
UACAGGAGGUCUCAAGCGUUGUUCGGAUUCAUUGGGCGUAAAGGGCGCGUAGGCGGCGGGGUAAGUCUGGUGUGAAAUCUAGGAGCUCAACUCCUAAACUGCACUGGAUACUGCUCUGCUAGAGGACUGGAGAGGAGACUGGAAUUCACGGUGUAGCGUGAAAUGCGUAGAUAUGUGAGGAAGACCAGUGGCGAAGGCGGGUCUCUGGACAGUUCCUGACGCUGAGGCGCGAAGGCCGGGGAGCAAA